AACGAACGCUGGCGACAGGCUUAACACAUGCAAGUCGAACGAGAUCUUCGGAUCUAGUGGCAGACGGGUGAGGAACACGUGGGAACAUCCCUUUCAGUUCGGAAUAACGUUGGGAAACUAACGCUAAUACCGGAUACGUCCUUCGGGAGAAAGAUUUAUCGCUGAAAGAUUGGCCCGCGUCCGAUUAGCUAGUUGGUGAGGUAACGGCUCACCAAGGCUACGAUCAGUAGCUGAUCUGAGAGGAUGAUCAGCCACAUUGGGACUGAGACACGGCCCAAACUCCUACGGGAGGCAGCAGUGGGGAAUAUUGGACAAUGGGCGCAAGCCUGAUCCAGCCAUGCCGCGUGAGUGAUGACGGCCUUCGGGUUGUAAAGCUCUUUUGUCCGGGAAGAUAAUGACUGUACCGGAAGAAUAAGCCCCGGCAAACUUCGUGCCAGCCGCCGCCGUAA
rnacentral:rRNA from 1 species